AACGCAGCGAAAUGCGAUAAGUAAUGUGAAUUGCAGAAUUCAGUGAAUCAUCGAAUCUUUGAACGCACAUUGCGCCCCUUGGUAUUCCGAGGGGCAUGCCUGUUCGAGCGUCAUUACACCACUCAAGCUAUGCUUGGUAUUGGGUGCCGUCCUUAGUUGGGCGCGCCUUAAAGACCUCGGCGAGGCCUCACCGGCUUUAGGCGUAGUAGAAUUUAUUCGAACGUCUGUCAAAGGAGAGGACUUCUGCCGACUGAAACCUUUAUUUUUCUAGGUUGACCUCGGAUCAGGUAGGGAUACCCGCUGAACUUAAGCAUAUCAA
rnacentral:rRNA from 1 species